CCUACGGGAGGCAGCAGUGAGGAAUAUUGGUCAAUGGCCGAGAGGCUGAACCAGCCAAGUCGCGUGCGGGAAGACGGCCCUACGGGUUGUAAACCUCUUUUAUCGGGGAGUAACGCGCGUUACGUGUGAGUCUUUGCGAGUACCCUAUGAAUAAGCAUCGGCUAAUUCCGUGCCAGCAGCCGCGGUAAUACGGAGGAUGCGGGCGUUAUCCGGAUUUAUUGGGUUUAAAGGGAGGGGAGGCCGGAGGUCAAGGGCGCCGUCAAAUGUGCGGGCUCAACCCGGGUAUUGCAGUGGAAACUGGUGUUCUUGAGUGAGCGGAAAGUAGGCGGAAUGCGUGGUGUAGCGGUGAAAUGCUUAGAUAUGACGAAGAACCCCGAUUGCGAAUGCAGCAUGCCGGAGCGCAACUGACGCUGAUGCACGAAAGUGUGGGUAUCGAACAGGAUUAGAUACCCUUGUAGUC
rnacentral:rRNA from 1 species